GGGGUUGUGGCUCAGUGGUAGAGCACUUGCUUAGCAUGCAUGAGGCACUGGGUUCAAGUCUCAGCACUGCA
rnacentral:tRNA from 1 species